rnacentral:rRNA from 1 species
AACUUUCAACAACGGAUCUCUUGGUUCCGACAUCGAUGAAGAACGCAGCGAAAUGCGAUAAGUAAUGUGAAUUGCAGAAUUCCGUGAAUCAUCGAAUCUUUGAACGCAUAUUGCGCCCCCUGGUAUUCCGGGGGGCAUGCCUGUCCGAGCGUCAUU